rnacentral:rRNA from 1 species
GACGUAGGGGGCGAGCGUUGUCCGGAGUUACUGGGCGUAAAGGGCACGCAGGCGGUCUGCCACGUUUGCCAUGACAGUGUCGGGCUUCACCCGACAAGGCGGGCGAAAACGAGCGGACUUGAGACUCAGAGAGGGACCUGGAAUUCCGGGUGGAGUGGUGAAAUGCGUAGAUAUCCGGAGGAAGACCGAAGGCGAAGGCAGGGUCCUGGCUGAGGGCUGACGCUGAGGUGCGAAAGCCAGGGGAGCGAACAGGAUUAGAUACCCUGGUAGUCCUGGCUGUAAACGAUGACCACUAGAUGUGCGGGGUAUCGACCCCCUGCGUGUCGGAGGUAACCUUUUAAGUGGUCCGCCUGGGGAGUACGGUCGCAAGAUUAAA